rnacentral:lncRNA from 10 species
CAGGCCUCAGUGGGUGUUUGAUGAAUGCCUGCUUUCAUUAUUUCUGCACCAGUGCGAUUUAUCUGCCUCUCUUCUUGACGUUUGCUCCAUUCCCCAGACCCAACAUUCAUCUCUUUCUUGGACUAAAGUUCAGUUUUACCUAGCCUCAAAAGUCAAUUCUGCUUUCAAGUCCAGCCAUAGAUCCUGGGUUCUGUGACCCCAGGCAGUACCCUGCAGGGUCAGCUCCCCUAUUGACCCCUCAGGGAUACUGAGGCAGCCCCUCCCAUCUGGCUCAACUCGGCUUUGAAGUUGAGACCCUGACACCCCUCAGCAGGCACUGUCCUUUGAGUUAUCCUUCCAGGGGAGAUGGUUGGCUAUGCACAGUCAUUCAUUUCUUGCCAAAAUCUUUUAAAUUGUUUCUGGCCUGGGUUAAGGGGAAAAAGAAGUGAAUGUGCUGGAAAAGAACCUUUUUUCAUGCUCUGUAUGAGUUCAUUAGCUCUGUUCUUAAAUCAAGUGAGAUAUCCAGUAAAGAAGGUCUUAGAUAAAACAUGAGGUGGUGAAUCCUGCCUCCUGGGCCCCCUCCCUGGGACUUUCUCUGUAGCACACAUGCCUCUUGGUGCCAUACCAGUUUCCUAAUAUUUUUACACUCUCUGCUUCUUUUCCUCGAUCAAAAUGUUCUCAAGGAAGGCUUUUAGGGAUUCAUGUCUACUCAGUGGUAAAGGACCAUUACUAACGUUACAGUAGUUAGUAUUGCAAUAGCGGAUAAAGCUUAAAGUCAAAGGAAUUAAUCUUUAAUUGUGAGAGUUUGAACAUCGAUGCCAAACUGAUGUUGGAUUGAGGGGAGGGUGGGGUGAGGGUGACAGAGUCUCACCAUUAGUGAGAUAAUUAGUGCCUCAUUUCUCAUCAUGGAUGUUGACCACUGACUCUGCUCCUGGAGAAGCCUGCUUCAGAACUAACCAGCAAACACCAAGGGCCUACACUGUGCUCAGCCCACUGAAAUGUGGCAUGGGGUGAAGUUUGUGAGCUCCAACCUGCUAGCAUUUCUUCUUUACGGAAUCAGAUGGAGGUGGUUCUGGGCCAGAGACAAAUCUAAGGGAAAGAAUUGCUGUUUCUCCUGCACGGCAGAGGAGCGGCUGCUGGGUAAGCAGCCCUUUCUGGCUGUCUCUCUCCAGGUGAGGUGAAUCAUCUCUCUGGAGGCUCCCUGAGCUCUCAGGACAACAGAACCAGGCCUCCUGACUGCCCCUCCCUGCGCUCCGGGCCUGCAGAAGGCGCCUGAUGUGACUUCGCAUUAUUUUGAAGCUGGAAAGGCAGACAUUUUAAGCCCUAAAGAGGUUUUGCCUUCUGAGGAGCUCAGGAGCUGAGGAGACCCGCAGGGACAUCUGGCUGGUGUCCUCCCCACGACUCUGGAGGAAAGAAUAGAAUACCAAAAGGCGCUGAACAUCACCACACCCCCUGGGGCCAUGACAUCCUCGGUGAACCGUAGGACUGGGGGACUGAGGACGGGUGAUUCCAGAGCGUCUUGCAUCGUCGCGUUUGGAGGACGGUGAUCCUCAGUGACCACCAAUCACGCACGCCGGGUGGGCGUGGGAGGGAUGUUCCCAGCCUUAGCCAUUGAGGAAAAGCUCAGCCCCGGGGCAGGGCAGGGAGGUCAGGAAGGGAAGACCUGAGCGGGAGGGGAAGGGGCAGGGAGAGCGGCUGGACUGUGAGCAGCUCCACGAGGGUGUGGGCUAGGAUGCAGGUAGGAGCUCCUGGGAGAGCAACCCUGGGGCCAGGCUGGGGCUGCGUGUGGACCCCAGGAGAAGGCCCUUCGGGAGCAGCCGCAGCUAUGCUGCGAGGUGUGCUUUCCUAAACUCAGAGGCUCUUGGUGAAGUGUGUUUCGGGCAGAGCCCAAUCUGUCACGGGCUCUGGGAGCUCCAGGCACAAGUGUGGGGACGUCCCUAGGGUCACUGCAGCCAAGGUGGCAUCAAGGCAGCAAUGAGGGUAAGGCAGGGAAGCAGGAGAUGUAGGGGUUUAUCCUGGCAGCCCAGCACAGUAGGCAGCUUGUGAAAUGGCUUGGAUGAACCCACCUUGGCAUUCACGGCUGUGCUAUGCCCUCCCCUUGAGUGUGAACCUGUGACUUGCUCCUAACCAACAGGAUGUGGCAAAGGUGGUGGCAUGUCACUUCCAUGAUGAGGAUAUACAAGACUGUGACUGCUGUCUUGCCAGCAAUCUCUCCUGCCUUCUCCACUUGGUCUCAAGAAGCCAUGGUGGAGAGUCCCAUGUGGCAAGGACCUGAAUCCUGCCCACAGCCACUUGAGCUGUGUGGACCCUCACUCAGUCGAGCCUUUCCCAGACACCUUGGCCCUGGCUGAUAACCAGAUUGCAGCCUGUGACAGACCCUGAAGACAAGGCUCCCAAGUAAGGUGUGCGUGGAUUCCUGACUCACAGCAACUAUGAAAUAGUAAAUGUGUGUUUUAAAUCACUAUCUUGUGAUUACAGAAGCAGAUAACUAAUACAAGUAUAAUAGUAUCUUGUAGCAUGUUUUAAGACAUGUUAAAAAAAUUGUCUAGGGAGAUGUAAUCAGAGGGUGCUAUAUGCUAUUACUGGCCAUUGUAACGCUAGGGGACUUCAUUGUAUAACCAUGACAUUAAAAGGAAGUGCAGUUUAUUCUGUA